GUCUUCCUACAAUUUACACUGCGAUGGCACGACGACGAGAACGAAACCUAAUGACAGCUGACGCAACGAACUGCGAGCAACAAGUUAUUCAAUUUCUGUGUUUUCGUCUCAGUAAAGUAAACUUGUCAUUAAACGCUCAGUUAAUCAAACAUAUUUAAAAGAUUUUUUUUUGACAUCGCUUAUGUUGGACUAACCACCGAUUGAAUUUGAUACGAAAAUAAUUUUCUUCCAUCUGGAUUAUCGAUUACUUCGUCAGAGAAGCGAAGAGGACAAGAUCUUGGAGGCAGUUGAAAACGUUCUGACUGAUAUUAAAAAGGCUGUGCUUUUGUGACGCGUCUUCAUCGUAUUGUGUGCGAAUUGUGCGUGUUUUGUCAACACAACCAUUCCGUCUUAUUGGCUGUGCGAAUAUCAACCAUAAUUACCACGUGCCCUGAACUGUUGAGGUCGAAAUUUGUCUGUAUGGAACAGUUUAUGCAGUGAAUUUAUUUGAGCGUUUUGUGUUCAGUGAUAUAUUCAGAUUGGUAUUGGAGCGUUUCAUAAGUUUUAUAACUAACAUCUGUUCAUCUAUAAAAUAUACGAUUUCUCACACAUAAGCCUGAAAAUUUUCUGCUUAAAAGAAAUUUUUAUUUUGUAUGCGGUGAGUGGGGAAGACCUCCAUAUUCAACAAGUUUCAGUUUAUUUUAUGACCCGAGGCUACAAGUCUUGGAGCUACAUACAAUAUAAUCAAUAUGUCUACGUUCUGCAGAAUUACAGGUAAAAGUCGCGGCCUUCCGAAAUCCAACUACUUCCCACUUUUGCCCCCAAUUUCGCCAGCAGAUGCAAAGCGACUUUGCCGCAUCACAGGGAAGUCGUAUGGCCUUCCCUCGCAUCAUUACAUUCCCGUCGCCCUCAUCAGCAAGUCCAAGAAAUCGCGCGGGAAAUGCAAGAUCACUAACAAUGAAGCUGCUCAUAAAUUUGCACCGGAAGUAGAGGCCCGCGACAAAAGGAGACGCCAUAUUGUUUUGUGUGACUACCGCUAUGUACUGCCGGUACUGGAUGGUUCCUCUGAUCAAGAAAAGACAAUGAUGGAGCUCCUAGCAACUAAAGAUGGUCGUGUGAUCUCAUUUCCUGAGGAGGACUCCCGCUUUGUGUAUGUCGUGAAAGAAAGACAUUGCGGUCUUGUGUUUCCGUCGGCUCUAGAGUUAGCAGUCAGAGAUGGCGACGUUCGUGAUAUCAUGCUCUCGAAGGAAUCCGACACGGUUGUUUUCAAACUGAAACAGGGGAAAAAUAUUUCACUGGAUUUAAAAACCGUUACGCCGAAGGUUGAUAAAACUUCAGAACUGUAUGAUGGAGAAGGGCCAAACGCAGAUGUCAUAACAGAAUUAGAGGCAGAGGAAAUGACCACUAAAAAGAGAAAGAGGAAGCGGCUUGACGUAUUAGACGCAAUGAAGAAAAUUUUUGAAGAAAAGGAGAUGGAAGCAGAGGUUGAAAUAAAAAAAGAGAUUGAAAUAAAUGAAAUGAAGAAGGCGAAAGUUGUGGAGAAUGUGAUGAAGGCAAAAGCUGAAGAGAAAGUGGGAGUAAAUGGAGACAGAGUGGAAGAAAAUAAUGAAGACGAUAUUAUGACGGAAGAAGAGAGAGAAAUGUUGAACAACUGGAAGAGGUUUGAUCCUAGACACUCUCGUGCGGAGACAAGUCUUCUCAUGUGUAGCGGGGAUUGGAGGGAUCUCAUCAGGCCCCUCAUAGAAGACUGGGACUGGGGCGCAUUUGAUAGAGAACCUGUUGGCACCCCUAUGAUCAGCACUUUGCCAGAGCCGUUGCCCAUACAGGCCCAGGUAGUGGACCUUAGCGUGUCCGUACCAGGUAUCGUUCAGUCACAGACACUCGGCGAACCUGGAGAAACAACGGGGUUUGAACCAGUCCCAUCAGUGGCACCGUUUACCCCAUUACUGGCAGAACCAGAGGCAGAAGUACUGAACGCAAUACUGAAAAUCAAAGAUCCAGAAGUGUUAGCAAAAACAUCAGACGUAAAGGACGUGUUUGUUGAAGCAAGAGAGGAAAUUAAAUGUAUGGUACCGAAAGUUAAUGAGAUACCAGACCUGGUAACUCGAAUUGAUCAAGGUGUUGUAACAGAAGUGGGAGAUGUUCACAAAAUUCAAGGUCUGGUGCUCGACAUAGACGCUGCAAAGAGAUUUGUUGUAGGCCAGAGAGUAGAAACGCCUAAAGGCGAAGUUUUUGUGCCAGGCCAAACAUUGCAGACACCAUCAGGACCCCAAUUUGUGCCUGGUUUCACCGUUAAGACCCCAGGAUGUGACAGUCCUGUUCUAAUACCGGGGCAGCAAGUCCUGGCAGUCACUGAAGAGAGUGGAGGAAAUACUGUGCCAGUGUUUAUAGCCGGCCAAACUUUAACUACACGAGACGGAGAGAAAUUUGUUGCAGGCCAGAAUGUUCAUACACCAGGUGGAUCGAGAUUCAUGGCCGGCCAGACUGUGAUAACACCAGAUGGGCCAAAAUUUAUACCAGGGCAGCUGAUUUUGGACACGGAUGUUACAGUUUCUGAAAACGAAUUCGUCAUUGACGUAAAGGACGAAAAGACUUUGAUACAAAGUGAGACACAAAAUGUUUCGAAUACAAACACAAAGACGCAAGCCUAUAAGUUUGUCCCGGGUCAGACAGUUCUGACAUCUGAUGGUCCCAAGUUUGUACCUGGCCAAACUGUGGCAACAGCACAGGGCGAAGAGAUUUUUAUUGCAGGUCAGAGUAUACAGACGAAGGACGGUAUCUGGGAAUUCGUUCCGGGUCAAGCUGUUACGAAGGAAGGAGAAGUCAAGUUCGUGGCCGGCCAAACUGUUAUGACCCCUGAAGGUCCUAGGUUCAUUCCUGGACAGAUUGUGAAUACAGCAGAAGGAUGCCCGCAGUUCGUACCUGGAGUUACUGUUUUAGAAAAAGACGGAGUCGGUUCUAAGUUUGUGCCUGGAAGAGCUUUGCAGACUCCAGAAGGAAUAAAGUUCGUAGAAGGCCAGAUAUUAAAGAAUGCAACAGGCGAAACUGCGUUUGUUCCCGGGAAAACGUGUAUUGCCGAAAAUAAUAAUAUCGAAUUCACCGCGGCACAGAAAUUAGAAGAUAUAAUUUUAGAUGAUGUUAUUGAAGUUCCUAAAGAAGGGCUUAAACCAAUCAAUCCCCAUUCUGGUUUACCGCCAUCAUCUGAUAUAUCAACUUAUUUUGGACAUGUUGUGCAGACAUCACAUGGUGUGGAGUUCUUCCCUGGUCAAUCCACCAGUGGACUACCGGCCGGAAAGAUAGUGCCUGGAAAACUGGAACGCGCUGUGGAUGGCAAAGUUAAAUUUGUUCCGGGCGCUGUUAUUGAGAUAGAGCCCGGGAUUGAGAAGUUCGUCCCGGGACAAGUAGUUAUGACAGAUCAAGGAGAGCAGUUUGUUCCAGGUCAGGUUGUGGAAACCUCAGAGGGGGCGAAGUUUGUUCCUGGGCAGGUUGUAGAAACAAGAAUCGGCCAGAAGUUUGUUCCUGGGCAAACAAUGGAGACUUCCGAAGGCACGCGAUUCGUUCCAGGUCAGAUAGUUGACACCAAAGCCGGGCCAACAUUCAUACCCGGGCAAGUAAUAUCUACUGACGAAGGUUCGAAAUUUGUGCCCGGGGAGGUAUUGGAUACUACUGAUGGACCUCGGUUCGUUCCAGGACAGGUCAUAGAAACUGAUGAUAACAAAGUGAAGUUCGUCCCUGGACAGACAGUCAAGACGAAAGAUGGCUCUUUGCGCUUCGUCGCUCCCGAUUUUCAAGACACCCCGGAAGGUGGCUUUGAAUUUUCCGUGCAGGGUUUCGAGAUAACCCCGGAAGAACUGCAACUUCUGCGUCCCAUGCACGUGACUGCUUCAUACGUACCUGCCAGCGAGUGGGAAAUGUCUAUUGAUUCACGAAUGCUCCGCCAGUUAUCGGAAGCAGGGAUGUCCCUGGGUCGUCAGGUUUCCUUGGAAAUUCCGACCUUCGACUUUAAACGGAACGGAGUUCGCACAGCUGUUGAAGCAAAUGGAACCUUACACGAAGCAGAGUUCAGUAAACUGGAGAUUCUAAAGGAUAUUUUGUCCAAACAUCACACAGAAGAGCAUGUACUGGAGAAAUUAUCUGCCCUGCUGAAAGAGACUAAAGCAAUUUCUAGCGAAGAGGAAGAAAUUAAGACUGGCACAAAAGAAGAAUCUCUAGAGUCUGCAUUCAAACACCUGACUCAUGGUAAUCCGGACUUUCUGGAUCAGGUGUUGCAGAAACUUUCUGAAUGUGUCGAAGAUGUCAGUACAGAGAAAGGCGCGACAGAGUCAUUGCAGAGGGCAAUCGUGAGCGUUGUCCAGGAACGCAGCGACCAGAGGAUACAAGAAAUUCUGCAGGACGAAUCGAUGUAUGAUAAGAAUGAUGAUAUGAGAGGGCUUUUGAUGCAGUCUGUAGGUCUGGCCCGUGCGUUGGGAAUGUCAGAUGUUGUAGCUGGUCUCCUGGACAUCCUCUCUGAUCCCCAAUCAACGCAGGUCCUAUCCAGUGACCGUGUGACCAUGGAUAUUCUGCGCCGUCUUACCGUCAUGCGUCAGCUCGCCGAACAGCGGCCCAGUCUCUGCCUGGCGUUAAGGCUGCUACAGAGCGACCCCGAAGUCGCAAGGUCUGACCCACGACUGAGAGAAUUGGUGCGUGAAAGUGCCGCAUUAAUGGCAGUUCCUAAAGAACAGCUGCCACUAGAGUCAUCCAAGGAUAUCCCAAGCAGCCUGUUUCACUGCAACAGUAUCCUGGCAAUGGAAGACUUUUUGCUCUCCAGAAACCAACGUUCAUCGGGGACCUUGCUUAUUUUGAAGCAGGGUCUUCAGGCCAUAAUACCAAGAGAAAACGCUAGGGCCGUCCUUACAGGACAGAUACCUUAUACAGUGUUAGAUGAGUCAGGGAUACGCCACUUCGAACCACUGCACGUGUUAUCAGCCUUGAGGCUGCCACGCCAGGCAGCCUACCACUUCUCCAUAUAUUCUUGUCCAGCAGCUAAAGAGGAGUCGAGUUGUAGCGCUGCCACCGUGACGUCUCGAAGUUCCUGUGAGGAUCUGGGAAUGCUGGACAGCUGUCGCCGUCGGAGCGACACGACCACAACCAGCCGACGACGAGGGACUCUGGAGAGUGUCGAUGGGUCCACUCUGAACUAUACGCGACUGAAUGGUGACAGUGAUGUACACAAUGUCACAAGUGGGUACAACACUCCCACUACGAAAUACGGCAACCGCUACAGUAGGAGGUACGGCAGUCUUAAUGGCGAUAGGUCAUUGUCACCUCCCAGUGGAUACGGUACCCCAAGAUGUAGGCCAAACGGCAGUGGAGACAACACGUAUGCACUCGGGGGAAGGCUGAGCCGUAGCGCAUCCUCUGUCAGAAUGUUGGGAUCAGAGGUGUCCGAUGUUUUCGUAGCAGCGCAAAACUUCCCAGCUGAUGACGUCGACGCCAUCUCCCUCAAGAAGGGAGACGUCGUGGAAGUUCUGGAUACCGGCCCGGAGCCAGUCAAACGGCUGCGACUAGACCCCGACCUGGAUUUGGGCGCUGAGGUAGCGGCUCUGCUGGACAGUUCCGCCGCGCGCCACAAGUUGGCCAUCCGGCCACGCAGAAAGCACGCAGACUCUAGGCAGGUGCAGCAGGAAGCAACCCGGUGGCUGGUGAGGAUGUACGAUGACCCGUCCCGGCAAGGCUGGGUUCCUGCGAGCCUACUGGAGCGGUCAAGGGAAGAAGAAGUGACAGAACCAGCAGAUCCAAUUGGCCCAGAAGUCCAUGGCCAGAGGAGAGAAGCUGUGGUGCGGGAGCUGGUAGAGACAGAGGAAGAAUUUGGACGUGACCUACAGUUGGUCGUGGAGCGCUACCUGAAGCCUCUAGACAGCAGUACUGUGCCACGUGUCGUGCGGGACAAUAAAGAUCUCAUAUUCAGCAACUUGAAGCAAAUCGCCGACUUCCACAACACAGUCCUAAUAGAGGGUGUGAAAUACUAUGCAAGUGAGCCACGGAUGCUGGGACGAACUUUCUUGAGACUGGAGCGAGACUUUGACAAGCAUGUUGCAUAUUGCCGUGAUGAACCAAUAGCACAGGAGUUCCUGCAGGAGAAUGAUGCUGUUAGAGACUAUUUUGAGGAGCACAGCCAGCAGCUUGGCGACGACAAGAGUCUGUCCGAACAUCUCAAGCUUCCAAUACAACGCAUCAACGAUUAUCAGCUCCUACUUAAGGAGUUGGUGAAGUAUUCCUCUCGGCUUGGUGAAGACACUAGCGAUCUCCAGAAGGCUCUAGAGUUAAUGCUUGGAGUGCCCCACCGGGCCAACGAUAUCAAGUUCAUAUCUAGCAUUGAGGGUUACCACGGUAACAUCCACAAGUUAGGCCGACUACUACGACACGAUUGGUUUACUGUAUCUGACAGGGACGGGAAGUGCAAGGAGCGAUACCUGUUUCUCUUCAAAGCCCGGAUUCUUAUCUGUAAAGUGCACCAUAUCGCGGAUGACCGGUCAGUCUUUGUGCUCAAGGACAUUAUCCGUUUACCUGAGGUUGAAGUAAAUGAUCUCAAGGACAACCCCUAUACAUUUGAGCUUCAUCAUAUAGUUGCUGGGUUUGGCCGUUAUCCUAUCACUAUCAGAGCACAUUCUGAUACUGUGAAACCAGCCUGGCUUAAGGAGAUCCGACAGUAUGCGUCAGACCUGUUUGCUCUAGCAGAACACGAUGCAGAUGAUCUUCGUCUCCAGACUCCACUAGGUAAUAAUGAGGACAAGUCAGAACCUACUACACCCCCACCUCAAGAGCCAUCAAAGGUACAACCGCCAUUAAAAUCAGCAGAAAACUGCUGUGAGACACAAGAGGUUUCAAGGGAGCUAGUAAAAACUGUGAAUGGUCUUGACCCAGUUCAGGAACCAGAGAGGGCAAUAGAAGCUGUAAGGAAGGUUCCUGAACAGAAAGCAGAACCUGAAAUUGAAGUUCCUAAAGAGAACAUCGAGCCAGGACUCAAAACUGCUGAGGUGAAAGCAGAGUUAGAAGUUAAGGAUUCUAAAUCUAAAUUAGAAUCUAAUAUCAAGGGGUUUUCUAAUAAUAAGUCAGAGCCAGAAAUCAAAGAUCCUGAAGAGAUAGUAGAGCCAGAAAUUGGGUUCACCGAAGAAAAAUUAUAUCCUGAAAUUAAGGGUCAUGAAAAGAAACCACAGUCUGAAGUCAAGGCUACUGAAGAGGAACCAGAACCAGAAGUAAAGGUUCCUGAAAAUAAAUCUGAGCCUGAAAUUAGAGCACCUGAAGAGAAACCAGAGCCAGAAAUAAGGGCUUCUGAGAAGAAACUAGAGCCAGUGACAAAGGUGCCAGAAAAGAAGGAAGGACUUGAAAUUGAAGUUUCUGAUAAACUAGAACCAGAAAUAAGGGCUUCUGAAAAGAAUCAAGUUCCUGAAAUUCAGCCUCUUGAAAAAAAGCCAGAGACAGCGAACGAGGUUUCUGAAAAGAAACCAGCGUCGGGAAAACUAGAUCCUGAACUUGAAGCUGUUGUAAAGAAAUUAGAGCCCGGAAUCGAGGUUCCUGAAAAGAAGCCAGAAUUAGAAGUCAGGGCUCCUGAAACAAAGCAACAACCUGAAAUAAUUGCCUCUGAAGAGGAGGCAGAACCAGAAGUAAAGUUUCUUGAAAAAAAAUCAGAGCCAGAAAUCAAAGUUGCUGAAAAGAACGCAGAAAUUGCACCAAAUACUCAGGACAAGAAGCCUGAAUCAGCAAAGAGGAAAGAGGACAAGGCAGUAGUGUCUAUUGCAUCUUCACAGCCAGCAAACAAGAAAGUCAAGGUUAACGGGUUUGAAAGUGACACAGCCAUGGCGCACUUCCAGUCAGUGACAUCUGUAAAAGAGUUUUCAAGCGAAGAAGUCUACAUGGAAUCAUCCGGCACUGUCAUGUCUUCAUCUGCAUCAAAGAGCGUGAGAUUUGAAUCAAGUUCUGUCCAAUCUGCCUCUGAGGAGACAGGUGGAGUUUCAAAUGUGUUCAAACUGACUCGUUCCACAUCAGCUGAUGGUCGGCCAGUGUUCACAAAGACCAUCGAAGGCAGCAAUUUGGAACCGGGUCAGAAUGCUGUAUUUCAGUGUGAACUUACAUCUGACACACCAACAUCAAUGACAUGGCUAAAGGACAACAGGCCUAUGGAAGACAGAUUAGCGGACCGUGUGUUGAUUUCAUCUCAAAACGAUAACACCGCUUUUAGAUUGGAGGUGCAGCACUGUCUUGAGUCUGACAGUGGUGUUUACACUGCCAGGGCAACUAACGCUGUUGGUGCUGCCACUUGCACUGCUCAGCUUGUAGUACAAGAAUUGUCAGAAGAAGAGAAGAAGAGACGAGCAGAAGCAAAUGCUCCAUUGUUUGUGGUAAAACUAAAAGACACAGAACUGCUGGAGAAUACAUACCUACGCUUCAUGAUAAAAGUGAAGGGACAGCCCAACCCUACCCUGAAAUUCUUUAAGGAAGGCAAGGAAAUAUCUCCAAACAACGAGAGGAUACAGAUAGUGACUGAGAAGGCUGAUAAGGGAUUCUAUGAGCUGGUGAUAGCCGAUGUUCUGCCUGAAGAUGCUGGAAAAUAUUCCUGUGCUGCAACAAACAAGUAUGGAGAAGUAAGCUGUGAGGCCACAGUUACUGUUACAAGUGAAAAGGAAAUAUUUAAAGGAUUGGGGUCAACUCUUCUAGAACCUGGAGAAGAAGCACAGUUCCAGUGGCUCCGAGAUGGACAACCUUUUGACCCUGAGGAGAGAUUCAAAGUCUUAUUCAAGGAUGAUGAAGACUCCCUUGCGCUAGUUUUCCAGCAUGUGAAACCUGAAGACGCUGGUUUAUACACAUGUGUGGCCUCGACAUCCACUGGCAGGAUCUCUUGUAGUGCAGAGCUCACCGUGCAAGGCUCAGUGAAUCAGUUGGCCCGAGAACCUGAGGUUCCCAAGAUUAGUACUGAGUCUAAAAGCACAGAAGUGGGUCUUGGAGGAUCUGCCAUGUUGGAGCUGAAAGUAGAAGGUUACCCAAAACCUGAUAUCAAAUGGACAAAAGAUGGAAAUCCUGUUGAAGCAGGAGGCAGAGUCCGCUUCUUGUAUGAAGAUGAGGAGUCUAUGUCACUCAUCAUUAAGGGUGUGACAGCAGAUGAUGCUGGCAAAUACAAAGUUGUGGCUAAGAAUGAACUUGGUCAAGAUUCUACUGAAAUGGAUCUAUUAGUUAAAGCUCCUCCCAAAAUUAAGACCGAACUGGAGAAUUCAUCCUGCAUGACAGAUCAGAAUAUGACAUUCACUGUUGAGGUGGAGGGAAUGCCAGUUCCUGAAGUAAAAUGGCUGAAGGAAGGCCAGCAGAUUUCCCAGUCUGACCGCAUCAAGAUUGUGAAAGAGAAAGAGACACACAGUCUCACUAUUGAGAAGGCUCGUUUGGAAGACACUGGCUCAUAUUCAAUUGUGGCUGUGAACGAGAUCAGUCAGACUUCAUCCUUUUGGCAGUUUGUAGUUCAUUCCCCACCAGUCAUCCUGAAGAAUUUGAACAAGAAAGUUGAGGCAAAGGAAGACGAUACACUCUGUUUUGAUAUCAAAGUUCAAGGGGAUCCAAAGCCAGAGGUUAAAUGGACAAAAGAUGGAGAAGAUCUAACAGCAGAUGGAAAACACAUCACAAUAUCUGAGGAUGGUCAGUUACACUCUCUGAUAAUCAAAAAUGCGAGCCGUGAUGAUUCAGGAACAAUUGCAGCUCAGGUUUGGAAUGACCAUGGCUGGCUCAAAGACACCAGUGAGGUCAAUGUGCGUUGUGCACCAGAGUUCAAAAGAAAUCUUAAGGACUUCACAGCUAAUGAGGGCGACACCAACGUUGAAUUCAACAUAAAUGUAGAGGCUUAUCCUAAGCCUGCAGUCAAAUGGUUUCUGAAUGACAUAGAAAUUACAGAGAAGAAGACUGAAUUUACUCGUGAGGAAGACGAGAACAACUACAAACUCAUCAUCAAGAAAGUCACCACAGAUUUGGCUGGAAAGUAUGAAUGCAAAGUCAUAAAUGACUUAGGGACCAUUGACACAGCCUGUAAUUUCACAGUACAGUACAAGCCUCACUUCCCAAAAGGUCUCACAAAUAUAGAAGUGGACGAGGGCCAGGAACUCACACUGUCCAUCCAGUGUUCUGCUGUUCCUGAACCAACAAUUAAAUGGUUUAAAGAUGGACAGGAGGUAACAGCAGAUGCUCACAUCAAAAUAAGCCGAGACUCACAGUCACUGGAGAACUACUAUCUGACGGUUACUCUUGUAAAGGGUGCAGAUGCGGGUGAUUAUGAGGCUAAGGCAGAGAACUCUAUGGGUACAGCGACAACCAAGAACACAGUCAAAGUUAACACCCUUACAAAGAAAAAGGAGGUGCAAGAGGAAACAGUAAUAUAUGUACAAAACACACCAGAUGACACAGAAAAGAAGAGGCAAGAAGGAGAGGAAUUGCAAGAACUUUUCUCAAAGAAAAUAAUUGAAGAAGAAAUAACAGUGGAGGUUAUGCCUCAUCAGGGUGUUCAAGCUGAAGUGUUAGAAGUGCAACAGCCAGAAAGGCAAUCUAUGUCAACAGUUGAGACUCAGAGUAUAAUGUAUUCUCGUGGCGCUGGAAAUGGUGAACGGACUGUCACUAUAUCUGUAGCUUCAAGUACGCACCAGACAGCUGUGUUCUCAGAAGAUGGUUUGCAAGGUCCUGAGGCAAUUCACACUCGUGUGGAAACAUCAUCAACAAAAGUGGUAUGCCAACAGUCAGCUGGAGGUAUUCUUAUGGAAGAGCUGGAGCCAGGAUCUUUCAUCAUGCAGGGUGAACGAAACUCGGCAACAUUAAAUAACAUCACUCCAAAUACAGAUGAACUGAAAGAUUUGAGAAAGAAACAGGGUGCUGAAGUUUUGGUAGAAGAACUCUUAGAAGAUGGUAACUUCAAAUUUCCAGUUGUCCAAAACAUGAACAGUAAAUUAGUUGGCGCUGUGCUGAUAGAGGAGCCAACAUCUGACACAGAUUUUGAUGAGCAUGACAUUAAGAGAUCAAAACAAUUGUCUGUAAAUCGUGGAGUGUCGAUAGUGUCUCUGACUUCUGAUGAUGAGGGUAGUCUGAAAGGCAGUCUUUCUAAAGAUCCUAGUGCUGAAGAAGCUUUCCCUUUCAAUCAGUGUUCACCCCAUGAUAACUUAGCCCUUAAGGAACUUCAAAAAGGAAAAGUCAUUCAUGUAACCUCAUGUGGCGUCCAGAAUGAAAGACUGGAAAUUAAAUCAACAACAGAGGAAGAUGAGCCACAGAAAGGUAAGCUAGCAGAUAAAACAUCGGCCAGUGAAAUUAGAAAUGAUUUUAAAGAAGCACAAGUUACUUGUCCAGCACCAGAAGCUAAAAAAGGCUUGAAACUAGAUGCAAGUACAAGAGAAGAGUUCAGUUCUAGUGCCCAGAAGCCAAGGAUGCUGCUGGGGGAACAAGUACAUGAAGCUAUACAUCAGAAGGGACAAAGGAUUGCAGAGGAAAAUGGAGAUGAUCCAGCAAUUGAAGCACUAUUGCAGAGAAUCCAGAAACAAAGAAGUGUUUUGGAGGAAAUUCUAGAAAAAGAGGAAGAGAGGAAAUGUGAAGCUGUUCCUCAAAUUGUUGGCACUGAUAUGGAUGACAGAGAAAUAUAUGAAUCACUCUGUACUGCAUACGAGGUUCGAGCCAAUGGCAUCCCAAGGCCAGAAGCAAAGUGGUACCAUGAUGGGGCUGAAAUCACCCCUUCUGAUCGUGUAAAGCUGUCAGACAGUGGUGAAUCAUACAAGUUGGAACUGAAGGAUGCUCAGUUGUCUGAUUCUGGAACCUACAAAUGCAAAAUUGCGAACAGACUGGGAGAGAAGACUCAUGAAGCCAAGCUGUCACUUAUUUCUGUGAAUGAGUUCAGAAAGCCAAAAAUCACGCAGCCAUUGUCAUCUGUGUCAGUACCUAAGAAUGAACCAGCUGUGCUAGCACUUGUGCUCACUGCAGAUCCCCUUGCAGAUGUCAAGUGGUUCCAUGAUGAUGUUGAGCUGACUGAAGAUGAGUUCCACAAGUUUACUCUUGAGACCAAGGAUGUUGAUGAUGGGCUGAAGGAAUGCACAUACACGCUUACCAUCCCUUCUGGCCGCCAUAAGGACACUGGUCAAUACAGAUUUACUGCUAAGAACAAGUUUGGAAAGGAUGAAUGCAGUGCCCGGUUGGAUAUUCUCCUGAUGCCUGAAAUUGAUGGCCUCAAGGACUCACAAAGAAUACCAUAUGAAGACAUUGAAUUUGAAGUUCUCAUUCUUGCCAACCCUAAACCUCAAGUUGUCUGGACUAAAGAUGGAGAGAAAAUUGAAAACACGGAACACACUAAAAUUACGGGAGAUAUUGAGAAGGAGAUUUACAAGCUUUACAUCUCUAACAUUGGUCUGAGAGAUCAUGGAACUUACACUGUUACUGCCACCAACAGUCAAGGAGAGAGUAGCCAGACCGCAAAAUUCCACGUACAUACGGAGCCUCCUUCAUUUUUGAAGAAUCUGGAGGAUCAGACUGUCAAGGACUAUGAUGAUGUAGAAUUUCGUGUCCGAGUUAAUGGAGUUCCGAAACCUCAUAUCAAAUGGUUCAAGGAUGGCCAGGAAUUGAAGAGUGAAGGUAGACUGGCUGUUGAAACAGAUUCUGAAGUUCUAGUAUCCAGUUUUAUCAACAUUAAACAUUUCAACGAAAGUGAUGUGGGCAAGUACAGUGUGACAGCAUCCAACUUGGUUGGUCAAGUAGAGACGAGUGCUAACUUGACCAUGGCUCAGAUUCCUCCUUCAUUUGGACGCCCCAUAGACCGAGCCAUUGAGGUGGAUGAAGGAGACAUAUUGGACAUUAAGACAAAACUAGAUGGAAGCCCUGUUCCAAAAGCACAAUGGUAUAAGGAUGGUGAGGAACUAGCUACUAGUGACCAUGUCAAGCUCACAGCGUUGCCAGAUGGAACUGUAAGAUUAUAUAUUGAUAAUGUGUUGCCAGCAGACUGUGGAGCAUACAGGCUUGUUGCCACCAACAAGAAUGGAGAAGCGACAGCCAUCUGUGCUGUUGCUGUCAAGCCCAGUAACCGCAAACCUGCCUUUGUAAAGCCACUAGAGGAUGCAAAGUCUGUUGUUGGGCAGCCCCUCAAGUUAGAAGCCCAAGUCGUGGCAUUUCCAGCACCAGAGAUAAAGUGGUUCAAGGAUGGCCACCCUGUUCGUCCCACUCAGGCCAUCAACUUUGUGAACCAGCCUGGUGGCAUUAUUGGCUUACACAUUGAUGCUGUGAGGCCAGAAGAUGCUGGUAAUUAUGCUGUUACAGUAAACAACAAGCUGGGUGACCUGACAGGUGCAGCCAAAGUUACUGUUGAGGCUCGUGAAAAGAAACCUAGUUUCCAGGCAGGGUUGCAACCUAGCACAGUUGUUGAGGGCUUCCCUGCCAGGUUAGAGGUGAAAGUCAUUGGACACCCCCCACCUACACUCAAGUGGACUCAAAAUGGCAAGGACAUUGAGCCAGAUGGAAAGAGUGUGAAGAUUGUGGAGCUGCCUGAUGGCACGACAGCACUUGUGUUGGAGAAGGCAAAGCCUGAGGAUGCUGGAGACUAUGAAGUGACAGCAACAAAUGAGAAGGGCUCAGUUUCAUCCAGAGCUCGUUUAGAUGUUUCAGAUAAGGGCCGUGGUGAUGCUCCAGAAGAGAAGCCUGCAUUUAUCCAUGGGCUACGUGAUGCAACAACAGAGGAGGGAGAUAUCCUGCUGCUUGGAGCACCCUUUAUUGGUAAUCCUAUUCCUGAUGUCAAGUGGACGAAGGAUGGAGAACCUGUUACGCCAUCUGAGCGCAUCAUGCUCACUUGCGAUGGAAAGAAGGUGGGCCUGGAGGUUAAGCCUGCGAGGCUGAGUGAUGCAGGCAGCUAUGUGUGUCAACUGAAGAACCCCUUGGGUGAGGAUGAGUCAACAGCAAAAGCUUCUGUGAGGAAAGUGUACCAGGCCCCCAACUUCACACAGAAGUUUACUGACCUGCAGCAGCUCCCAACGUUUGAUGCCAAGUUCCCGGCUCGUGUGACUGGCAUCCCACAACCAGAUGUUACAUGGUACUUUAAUGACCAACUCAUAGUACCUGGUACUGGUGCAGAGUCUGAUAAGUACCGGGUGAAGCGAGAUGGUGAUGCCGUCUGCCUGUAUGUGAGGGACUGCAAACCAUCAGAUGCUGGGUGCUAUAAGUGCAGGGCCUCCAACUGUGAUGGAGAAGCCUCUUGUGAGGCUAGCCUCGAGGUUGUGGAUAAGAUUGAGAAGAAACAGAAGAUAGAACCUCCAGAGUUCCUGAAGAAGAUAGGCGACUGUGAGGUGUAUCAGGGCAUGACAGCCAAAUUCACAGCCUGUGCAUCUGGUUACCCUGAACCAGAAUUUGAAUGGUUCCAUGAUGGACAAAAGAUUUACCCCAGUGAUCGGAUCCGUAUGGAACGUGAAGGAUCAGGUCUUCUCAGGCUGUCCAUUGAAGGUGUGGAUCCAUCAGAUGUGGGCAAAUACAAGUUGCGGAUUUUCAAUCCUCAUGGCGAGACCAGCUGUGAGGCAGAUCUCAGUUAUGACUCUCUUGACAGUAAACCGAAGCGGCCUGUGGGAGACUUGUACACAGACUUUGACAAGUUCCGCAAGACCGGGGCUCCACUACCUCUAGCAGAUCGUCCAAUCAUCAGCCGUAUGACUGAUCGUCGUCUCACUUUGUCAUGGAAGCCUUCAAUUCCCAUUGGACCAAGAGUGCCUGUAACAUACAGAGUGGAGAUGUCAGAACAGCCUGAUGGUGAUUGGUUCACUGCCCGUACAGGAAUUAGAAGCUGUGCCUGUGAUAUACAUAACCUAGAACCAUUCCGUGAUUAUAAAUUUCGUGUACGGGUGGAGAACAAAUAUGGAGUCAGUGAUCCUUCUCCUUUUGCUGUUACUUUCAGAGAGAAGUUGGAGCCUGACCCACCAAAGUUCUUCCCAUAUCUUCAGCCAGGCAUUGACUUCCGACCAGAGACGUCCCCGUACUUCCCAAAGGACUUUGAUAUUGAAAAGCCGCCACAUGAUGGAUACGCUCAGGCUCCAAGAUUCCUGAGGCAAGAACAUGAUACUCAGUAUGGCGUCAAGAAUCACAACUGCAAUCUAUUUUGGUUUGUUUAUGGCUACCCCAAACCCAAGAUGACAUACUACUUUAAUGAUGAACUCAUUGAAACUGGGGGUCGAUAUGACACUAGCUACACAAGAAAUGGUCAAGCCACUCUCUUCAUUAACAGGAUGCUGGAUCGUGAUGUGGGAGCAUAUGAGGCAGUCGCAACCAAUGAGCAUGGUGAAGCUCGGCAAAAAGUGAAAUUGGAAAUUGCUGAAUAUCCAGAGUUCAUCAAACGACCAGAAGAAACAGUCAUCAUGACAAGGAAAUCUGGACGCAUUGUUGCCAGAGUGACUGGGGUGCCAUAUCCUGAGAUCAAGUGGUACAAAGACUGGCAACCCGUUGCAUCCUCUAGCAGAAUUAAGAUCCAGUUUAUUGAGCCAGACACCUGCAUCCUGGUGAUCAAUGAUGCUAUAAACAAAGAUGAGGGCCUGUAUAGUCUGAGUGCCCGCAACAUUGCGGGAACAGUGUCUUCCAGUGUGAUGGUGCAUGUAGAGGAGAGUGAACAAGAAUAUGGUUACCUUACAUACAGCAAAGGGCGCAACAUCAAGCCCAAGAGUAAACCGUUUGAGGAACAGUAUGACAUUGGUGAUGAGCUGGGCAGAGGUACCCAGGGGGUGACAUACCAUGCCGUGGAGAGGCUGACUGGUCGUAACUAUGCAGCAAAAAUCAUGCAUGGAAAAUCUGAUCUGCGCCCAUUUAUGAACAAUGAACUGGAGUACCUGAAUUUGCUGAACCACCCCAAGAUCAUACGUCUGCAUGAUGCAUAUGAGACUAACCGCACUCUCACCCUCAUCACAGAACUAGCUAGUGGAGGAGAACUGCUGGAUAACUUGACAAAGCAGACAUAUAUAACUGAGACGGAUAUCGCUGGCUAUAUUCGUCAGGUGCUGUGGGGACUAGAACAUAUGCAUAGCCAGAACAUUGCACACCUUGGUCUUACAAUUGGAGACCUGCUUAUUUCACAUCCUGGUGGAGAUGAUUUGAAAAUAUGUGACUUUGGCCUAUCAAGAAGGAUAGCAUUUGGCAAGCUUGCUGCUCUAGAUUAUGGCAUGCCAGAAUUUGUGGCUCCUGAAGUUGUUAAUGGAGAUGGAGUGGGGCUGGGGGCAGACUUAUGGUCUGUUGGUGUUAUUACAUACCUGCUGCUUUCUGGUCACUCUCCCUUCAGAGGGCCCAAUGACCGGGAGACACUGACUCGUGUCAAGGAGGGGAAAUAUGAUUUGAGAUUCGAGUGGUUUUCUGGCAUCUCUGCUGAAGCCAAAGACUUCAUCCAGAAAUUGCUGGUGUACAAUGCAGAUGGCAGGAUGGAUGUGAAGACUGCACUGAAACAUCCCUGGCUACAAGUUGCAGACAAGAUUCCAGUGGACCAAUACAAGAUUGGCACAGAGAACCUCAAAAAUUACUACAAUCGCUACCGGGAUUGGUAUCACAACGCAUCUUGUCGAACAUGGUUCAGAAGAAGACCGCUGAGUGGUGCUUUCACUCAUCCUUCCAAAAUGGUUUACCCACCAGGACACAUAUACACACCAGAACCAACACCUGAACCCACACCCAAGGAACCAAAGGAGCCUAGGACAUGGGAAGCCCAGCUGCCACCAAGGCCACCACUUGAUUAUGAAAUUGGCAGUGUAAAAUCAGAGAGUCACUAUCAGUAUGGGCCUGACACAUACCUCCUGCAGUUGCGUGAUGUUGAUUUCCCCGUGAGAUUGCGGGAGUACAUGAAAGUGGCAGCCAACAGGGGUCCAGUUGUCGGAGCCCAUGACAACAUUGACUGGAGGACCCCAGUGAUCCGUGAAAGACGCCGCUUUACAGAUGUUAUGGAUGAAGAAAUUGAUGAUGAAAGGAAGGAACGCAUCAACCAGUAUGGUUCUAGUGAUGUGUACUCCCUUAGGAGAUUAAGGCGGGAACUGGGGACACGACUGGAUGGCCAUGCCGAGGCUGAGGCUUUAAUAGAAUACAAGCGGGAAGGGCAGCCUCCAUUUUUCCGAGAGAAACCACAGAUUCUGCCUAUUGUUGAUGACCAGCCUGCAGAAUUGGUCUGCUUUGCAGUUGGAGACCCCAAGCCUUCUGUCCAGUGGUUUAAGAAUGACUUAGUCAUCACUGAGAGUCAUCGGGUGAAAAUCCUAGAGGAUGCUGAAGGCCGCUCUCUCCUGAGAUUUGACCCUGCUUCAAAUGUGGAUGUUGGCAUUUAUAAGGUUGUUGCUCGUAACAAAGUGGGUCAGACACAGGCUCGUACAAGGCUGGUUCUGGCAAGUGUCCCCUCAGCUCCAGACUCACCAGACGUUGCUGAGGUUUCAGACACUGAGGUUCUGCUGAAAUGGAAACAACCUAAAGAUGAUGGCAAUUCUGCAGUACUUUGCUACAACCUGCAGUACAAGGAAGCUGACAGUGUAGAGUGGCUGGAUGUUGCCAACAAUAUUGACCAUGAGUUCUAUGUUAUCCAUAACUUGCGUCCAUCUGUCACUUACCAGUUUCGAUUGGCGGCAAGGAAUCGCAUUGGCUGGAGUGAGAAGGGCAUUCCAACACCCCUGGUCAGGACCAAAGAAGCAGGUGCUCCAAAGGUUCCUGUUACAAGAGCCAUGAAACAUCUGCAGGAGAUCACCGAGUCAGGCCAAGAGAUUACUGCAGAUGAGCCAGUCACUCACUUGGAUUAUUCAGCAGAGAAGACACCAAUUGAGUGGAUCAGUGAGGGAGCACUUAAUGAAAAGUACAGCUUUGUCUCAGAGCUUUCCCGUGGUCGCUUCUCAGUGGUUGUGAAGGGCAUUGAGAAAGCCUCAGAUAGAGUUAUUGUGGCCAAACUGUUGGAACUGAGGCCUGAAACUGAAGCUAAAGUCACAAGAGAAUUCGAGGCCUUGAGGUCCUUCAGACAUGAGAGAAUAGCAACCUUACUUGCAGCAUAUAAACCUCCAGGCUCAGCAGUUGCUGUUUUGGUGCAGGAGAAACUGCAGGGUGCUGACAUCCUCACAUACUUUUCCAGCAGACAUGAGUAUACAGAACAAAUGGUGGCCACUGUCAUUACACAGAUUCUUGAUGGACUGCAGUACUUGCACUGGCGGGGCUACUGCCAUCUGAACCUCCAGCCUGACAACAUUGUGAUGGCGUCAGUACGCAGUGUACAGAUCAAAUUGGUGGACUUUGGCUUUGCCCAGCGAGUCAGUAAAUUGGGUACCGUUACUGACGCGGUCGGGGACUCUGAAUACUCAGCUCCAGAAGUGCUGAACAAUGAACCAGCUUUCCCACAGACUGACAUUUGGAGUGUUGGUGUUGUAAUGUACAUCCUACUGUCUGGAAUAUCGCCUUUCCGAGGGACUGACAGUGAAGAGACACGUCAAAAUGUGACAUUUGUGCGCUACAGGUUUGAAUAUCUGUACAAAGAGCUGACGCAGGAAGCUACACGAUUCCUUAUAUUGGUAUUUAAGAGAGCACCAGGUAAGCGACCAACAGCUGAGGAAUGUCAUGAACAUCGGUGGCUGUUACCAACAGAGUUCAUGAUCAAGAAGAGAGAGCGUGCUGUGUUUCUAGGAAGUAGGCUAAAGGACUUCUCAGAAGAAUACCAUUCACACCGGGCAAAAGGAGCCACAAAAUCUGAGUCACUCACUGGAGCCUUUGGGGGCCCCAAAAGUCUGGUGCGGUCUAGCAGCAUUCAGGAAGAGCUACUUACAACAUUUUAAUUUCAUCAAAGUGAUAAUGCAUGGUUAGAUUCAGUCCAUGAAGGUGCUCCCACCACAAGCUGCUACUGGAGUGGGGGAUUGCUCCAGGAAUUCCUCCACCCACCAAUCAUUCAGCAGGCUACAUGCUCCCUGCUCGCUUCAUUCAGUCUGGUGAACUGUCACUCCCACUGUUGGCUGAUGGUAAUAGUGUUAGUCAUUUUAUGGUGGGUACUUUCAGUAAUGUUCAUGGACUGCAGCACUCUGUGAAAAGCAAGGUGCCAGUGUCAAAACCUGAACCUAAUUGCAGUAGGCUAAACAGUGUUAGUGGUAGUAUGCUGAACACGGCUGUCAUUUUUAUUCCUGCAGUAAAGUUUAAAUCAUAUUGUACUUCUUUCUUUUUCCUAUUGAAACCAAUAAGAGUGCAUGACGUGAGCAAUGAAUGUCUUCACUCCCAUUUGCUCAUGUAUCACAUUCUUCUUUGGUCAUGUUUAAUUUGUUUUAGUGAAUCAUGUAAUUAUUCUCCCUUAGACUCAAUUUAUGUUAUUACAGUUCAUCUAAGUGAAAGAUAUCAGAGGGCUAUAUGUGUGAAUGUGGGAUUCAGUCUCUUCCACCUGUUGUUUCUCUCCUUGUUGUUCUUCAUGUCUUAAUCCUCAACAUAAUCUCUCUGGCCUCCAUUGAGUUCUUAAAAUGUUUUGAACUACGAAUUACUUUCUGUUUGAUUGAAAUUUCUUGAUGCUUUUCAAUAUAAUACUUGAUACAGAAGCUAGUUACAAUAUCUUUAGAUGUGUAUAAUAUUCAAGGGUGGUUCUAUGAAAGGAGGUGUUUGCUAUAAGGCUGCAGGAGGGGGAAAGAAUGAAACAGAGAGCAUGGCACCCAAAACAUAAUUUUAGUAUUUCAUAAUAUCCAUUUGAAGAUCUGUCCAAGGAAGACUUUUAUUACAGGUAUACAUCACUGUCAAAAGAAAAUAUUUUGAAUGAAGUUAUUUCUGACCUGUCAAUCCAUUUCAAAGUGAUGUGAUGUAGUGUUAUAGAAGAGCUUGGUUUGGGUUUAUGAAAUCCUACAUGUGUUAGGGUCAUAUUUUGUGUAUGUAAAGUUACUGCAUACAAUCUGAACUGUUUUACAGCUGUACAGUGGCCCAACACAAGAAUAUUGAACUUGGAAAAGUAAUGGGGGGCACUACAUAUUGUUGCUACUGUAAAGGCUAUAUCUUAUGUGGUACCUGCUCAGUCAGCCAUAUAUCUGAAUUUACAUUUUAUUUGUAAUUUGUGGACCAAAUAUAAACAAUCAUAACUUGA